rnacentral:rRNA from 1 species
AGAAUCAACGCUGGCGGCGUGCCUAACACAUGCAAGUCGAACGAGAAAGUGGAGCAAUCCAUGAGUAAAGUGGCGCACGGGUGAGUAACACGUGACUAACCUACCCUUGAGUGGGGGAUAACCUAGAGAAAUCUGGGCUAAUACCGCAUAAUACCUUCGGGUCAAAGGAGCAAUUCGCUUAAGGAGGGGGUCGCGGCCGAUUAGUUAGUUGGCGGGGUAAUGGCCCACCAAGACUGUGAUCGGUAUCCGGCCUGAGAGGGCGCACGGACACACUGGAACUGAAACACGGUCCAGACUCCUACGGGAGGCAGCAGUGGGAAUUUUGCGCAAUGGGGGAAACCCUGACGCAGCAACGCCGCGUGGAGGAUGAAGCCCCGUUGGGGCGUAAACUCCUUUCGAUCGGGAAGAUAAUGACGGUACCGAGAGAAGAAGCCCGGCUAACUUCGCGCCAGCAGCCGC